rnacentral:rRNA from 1 species
GACGAACGCUGGCGGCGCGCUUAACACAUGCAAGUCGAACGGAAAGGCCUGCUUUCCCUUGUGGAUUGCGGGUACUCGAGUGGCGAACGGGUGAGUAACACGUGAGUGAUCUGCCCCCAACUUGGGUAUAAGCCUGGGAAACUGGGCCUAAUUCCCGAUAGGACUGCAGGGUGGUGCCUGUGGUGGAAAACGAUUUUCUAGUGGUUGGGGAUGAGCUCGCGGCCUAUCAGCUUGUUGGUGGGGUAAUGGCCUACCAAGGCGGCGACGGGUAGCCGGCCUGAGAGGGUGGACGGCCACAUUGGGACUGAGAUACGGCCCAGACUCCUACGGGAGGCAGCAGUGGGGAAUAUUGCACAAUGGGCGGAAGCCUGAUGCAGCGACGCCGCGUGGGGGAUGACGGCCUUCGGGUUGUAAACUCCUUUCGACCGCGAGGAAGCCACCUGGUUGGAAGGGUGGUGACGGUAGUGGUAGAAGAAGCACCGGCUAACUACGUG